CCUUGAUGGUUCAGGAUGUCCGUCGCAGCCAGGACCUCGGAUCAGGUCGUGACACUAUGUCAGGUGAAUAUGAGAGAGGGAGAGUGCAUCCUCUCGGCCUUCUCCAUUUCCGAAAAACAUGCUAGUAAAAAGAUUCGAAAUCUCUAAUUAAAAAUUGAGACACAAAGUAAUUAAUGUUGAGUUAAAAACGUAGACAUUUUUU
rnacentral:lncRNA from 1 species